GGAAACUAAAAUACAUUUAAGUCUAAAACCUAUGAAAAAUACUUUUUGUUGGGGUAACAGAGAUAGGCAUAUUCCGCUGUAACAAAUAACGGUUUUGCCCUCGAUCAUCUUCUUCUUUCCUUCUUCAUCGUUUCUUUCUCUUCUUAAUAUUACCAGGAAUUUUGGUUUCAAUUUUUUUUU
rnacentral:sRNA from 1 species